rnacentral:tRNA from 1 species
GGAGGGGUGCCUGAGCGGUUUAAAGGGACAGUCUUGAAAACUGUUGUCCGUUUACGCGGACCGCGAGUUCGAAUCUCGCCCCCUCCG